UACGUAGGGGCCUAGCGUUGUCCGGAAUUAUUGGGCGUAAAGAGCUCGUAGGCGGUUCGGCAAGUCGGAUGUGAAAUCUCCACGCUCAACGUGGAGGGGCCAUUCGAAACUGCCGUGACUCGAGUCCGGUAGGGGAGUGGUGGAAUUCCCGGUGUAGCGGUGAAAUGCGCAGAUAUCAGGAGGAACACCGGUGGCGAAGGCAGCUCGCUGGGACGGUACUGACGCUGAAACGCGAAAGCGUGGGGAGCGAACAGG
rnacentral:rRNA from 1 species